rnacentral:rRNA from 1 species
GGUGUCCUACGGGGCGCAGCAGUAGGGAAUCUUCCACAAUGGACGAAAGUCUGAUGGAGCAACGCCGCGUGAGUGAAGAAGGGUUUCGGCUCGUAAAGCUCUGUUGGUAGUGAAGAAAGAUAGAGGGAGUAACUGGCCUUUAUUUGACGGUAAUUACUUAGAAAGCCACGGCUAACUACGUGCCAGCAGCCGCGGUAAUACGUAGGUGGCAAGCGUUGUCCGGAUUUAUUUGGCGUAAAGCGAGUGCAGGCGGUUCAAUAAGUCUUAU